rnacentral:pre_miRNA from 15 species
CCGGACCCCGCCCCUGCCCCUGCCGCUGGCUGAUAUGUUUGAUAUUAGGUUGUUUUAUUGGAAAACCAACUAAAUAUCAAACAUAUUCUUCCGGCGCCAGGGCCGCUCAGCACCGCCCGGG